CAGUAGCCACGGUAAUACCAGCAGCCCAAGUGGUGGUCGCGAUUAUUGGGCCUAAAGCGCUCGUAGCCGGGCCGGUAAGUCCCUUGUGAAAUCGGACGGCCUAACCGUUCGGCGUGCAAGGGAUACUGUCGGUCUUGAGGCCGGGAGACGUCCGAGGUACUCCGGGGGUAGCGGUGAAAUGUUCUGAUCCUCGGGGGACCACCGGUGGCGAAGGCGUUCGACGAGAACGGGCCUGACGGUGAGGGGCGAAGGCUAGGGGAGCAAACGGGAUUAGAUACCCGCGUAGUCCCUGUCUCUUAUA
rnacentral:rRNA from 1 species